ensembl:lncRNA
CACAAGACUCUGCAGCAGUUAUGGAACAGCCAACUCCAGAUACCCAAGAGGAAAAGAUGAAGACCUCCUAUCAACUGAGGUCCAAAAGAUGUGUCAAGUUAUUUUCUUGUAAUUGAUAUCUUGUCUCAUGGUGUUUUGGUUGGAGAAGAUGCCUGAUACGAUUUCAAUUCUUAAUUUUACUGAAGUUUGAUUUGUGACCUAAGAUGUGAUCUAUCCUGGAGACUGUUCCAUGUGCAAUUGAGAAGAAGGUGUAUUCUUCUGCAUUUGGAUGGCAUGUUCCAAAGAUAUCAAUGAGAUUCAUCUCAUCUAAGAGCCAGCCACCUCAAUGAGAGACCUUGGGAACUAGAUGGACAGGAUAUGAGUACUCAGUGUUUCCUCCAAGAACAUGGAAGCUUGUGGUAGCUAUUCACGGAAAUGAAUUCCAUCAUGGUCUCGACUGUGAGGUGGCCAGGGCAACUGUGAGGGUGAAUAAGCACAUUCAACCAAAGCUGACCAAGGAACCUUAUCAAAAAACUCCCAUCUCAAAGAAACUGAAGAAAAUCAGAGGAUCAGAUCUCUGUAGCUACUGUUCCAAGGUGAAUGAAGAGCUGGAUCAGAAUGAACCAGAGGAGGUCCCAGGGAUCAUGGAGACUCCUGCUGUUCCAGCGAGACCAGUGGGCAGCCAGGAACUUCAGAGCACAGCUAGAGACCUCAGAAAUCUACAGAGGUCUCACCUCUGAGAAAUGGCCAACAGUAUAGUUGUUGAAUCUUAUACCAACAUCAUACAUUAAUAAUGAACUUUAAAU